rnacentral:tRNA from 1 species
CAGGGUGUAGCUCAAGAGAGUCAGAGCGCCCGGCCUGGGACCGGGGGCUGCAGGUUCAAAUCCCCCACCCUGACCA